ACGCUGGAUGUUGUAUCCCGGAAGUGGUGCGGCGAUUCUUGUGGGCUGGAACAUGAAUAACGACACCGGAUGGAUUUUGCUGAUGGUGGCGGCAUUGUCUGGAGCCUGUGUCCCAAAUGGUCUGGACCGAACGCUGCUGAAGGCAUAUCCGACUGAUUUGGUCAAGAACCAGGCCAUCGUUCCGUUCGUCAUGUCCACGCUGAUGACACAGAUGACGACGCUGCUUAUGGAGAUGACAGAUAAAGGUGCCGAAGCUGCAGGAGCAGGUGCCGUCCCUGGUGGGGUCACAAGCGUGCUGCCUGGACCCAUUCAGCGUAUGGCAGAUCGUCCCUUCUUUGGCAUUGUCUGGAACAAGAAACCAAAGAUGAACUUCUUCUCUGGGCACAUAGCUUCACCAUAAGCGAAUGGCUAAGAUCAUGCACGCUAUUCUGAGACAAGGCGUAGGACCCACACUGCAUAGCGUUGAUCGCAUUAAGCAUGCUGUGAGUGCAGUUCAUGUAACGGCGGCUCCCAUCAUGGCUGGGUGCGACCGACAAACCUAAUGUC